AGAUGGCAACCACUAAAUAAGACAGGAUGACCUCACCGGGAGUAUUGAGGAGGCGGGACCUCCUGCAGCGGUCAGCUGGCGAAGGCAACCCUGGAAAGAGGCAAAGGGGUUCCGGCAGUCCUCCCGCCCGUCGUCGUCCGCCGGACAACCUUCAACGAGACCACAUCGAGAGUACCACCCCGCAUGAGGGGCGCCGACGUUCGCCUACCGCCGAAGAAGAGGUCCCUCUCGACGGCCACGGUGAAGGAAGGACUGGCCUGAGCCACGUCCACGUUGUCCACGCAGAUACUCAGGUGCCCUCGUCUGGACUUCAGAUCCACCGAAUGCCACAGACCGUCAUCCAGACCGGAGCCUGACCGGUCCCAGUUAAGUGCUCAAUGCAUCACUCUCCAUUUUGUCCGCUUUACAUCAUGCUCUGUACUGACCUGCCUUGAGCUCCAGCAGUACCCUGUCAGCCUUCCGUACCAGCAGCCUGAGCCGGGCGUCGCUCAGGUACACCCAGACAACACCGCCCCGCUGAGGGAGCCGGAAGGUCAGCAGCAGCCCGUUUCGGUUCCACGUCCUGAAAUGGAGUCCAACGGAAACUCUCUCUGCAGGCACUGGGGUUGCGACCCCAGGCAACUGGAGGAAGCCUCGGGGCCCGGGAAAGGUGGCGGCCACGGCUGGCGUCUGGUGGGAGCAUGUGAAGGUGACAUUGCCCUGGGAGACGUCAAAUAAAAUGGAACGCCGUCGUGAACUGACCGACACGGUAGCUCGGCGGUCGCCUUGUCUGGCCAUCGCAAUCAGGUUAUGUCGGUUGUACGCCAAGUUCUCCAGGCACCCUUGGAAUCUCUCGUCAGGAAUGUCGAGAAAUCCCC